rnacentral:sRNA from 1 species
GUUUGCACUCAUCGGGGAAGGGUGAGAACCUUCGACUAAGGUUCGAUUCGAGCGAAAGCGAGAGAACGUUGCCACAGGCAACGGCCCGAAGGGUGAGGAGCGAAGCGACGAAUAAUCCUUCCACCACCACCA